AGUGAACGCUGGCGGUAGGCCUAACACAUGCAAGUCGAACGGCAGCACAGUAAGAGCUUGCUCUUACGGGUGGCGAGUGGCGGACGGGUGAGGAAUACAUCGGAAUCUACUUUUUCGUGGGGGAUAACGUAGGGAAACUUACGCUAAUACCGCAUACGACCUACGGGUGAAAGCAGGGGAUCUUCGGACCUUGCGCGAUUGAAUGAGCCGAUGUCGGAUUAGCUAGUUGGCGGGGUAAAGGCCCACCAAGGCGACGAUCCGUAGCUGGUCUGAGAGGAUGGUCGGCCACACUGGAGCUGAGACACGGUCCAGACUCCUACGGGAGGCAGCAGUGGGGAAUAUUGGACAAUGGGCGCAAGCCUGAUCCAGCCAUACCGCGUGGGUGAAGAAGGCCUUCGGGUUGUAAAGCCCUUUUGUUGGGAAAGAAAAGCAGCAGGUUAAUACCCCGCUGUUCUGACGGUACCCAAAGAAUAAGCACCGGCUAACUUCGUG
rnacentral:rRNA from 1 species